UACGUAGGGUGCAAGCGUUGUCCGGAAUUAUUGGGCGUAAAGAGCUCGUAGGCGGUCUGUCACGUCGGCUGUGAAAACCCGAGGCUCAACCUCGGGCCUGCAGUCGAUACGGGCAAACUAGAGUACUGCAGGGGAGACUGGAAUUCCUGGUGUAGCGGUGAAAUGCGCAGAUAUCAGGAGGAACACCGAUGGCGAAGGCAGGUCUCUGGGCCGAUACUGACGCUGAGGAGCGAAAGCGUGGGGAGCGAACAGG
rnacentral:rRNA from 1 species